UCCCAGAACACCGCCGGGCAGUGGUGGGUGCACAUAGUCCAGUGGGAGAAUUGCUCAAGCCCAGGAGUUCUGGUCUGUCGUGCACUGUGACCGUGAGGUGUCCACACUAAGUUCCACAUCAAUACAGUGACCUCCUGGGAAUGAGGGACCAUCAGGUUGCCCAAGGAGGAGUGAAGCAGCCCAGGUCAGAAAUGGAGCAGGUCAAAACUUCCAUGCUGACCAGUGGAGGAAUUGUACCUGUGAAUAGCCACACUGCAGCCUGGACUACAUAGCGAGAC
ensembl:misc_RNA Metazoa_SRP Metazoan signal recognition particle RNA